rnacentral:lncRNA from 10 species
UUCUCCUGCCUCAGCCUCCCGAGUAGCUGGGACUACAGAGCUUGCAGUCUGCUGAGGGGAACAUCCAAAACUAUCUGAAGCCCCGGGCUGAACCAGGCUCUGCAGACAUUGGUGGUGUCCUAGAAGGCUCUUGCUGAGGUCUUAUGUCUGAAAAGAAACCCUCGGAAACCCACUUGAGUCUGUCUUGCAUUUCACAUGAAACAAGGCUUCAUUCUGCAAAAAUAUCUGGGACCUUCAAAUUCACAAGUGGAUUUUCUGCUCAGGGGAGAGCUACCAAUCGGUUGAAAGGUAUGUUACAGCUCUAAGAAGCUGCAUCCAUUUCCUGUAGGAUCCAUAGUUUCUGGUUCUGGUUCCAGGGUAAGUAUCACUUUACCUGUGUGGUUUACACCCCUUCCUCCAUGGCUGGUUUCUGUUCCUGGGGCUGUUCGUCCCCCUGUAAUUCCCGUCAACCACUUCUCCUUCUCUAUG